GCUUAAGCACAAACAAAGAUAUUAAUUAUCCGCCAGAAAAUUACGGGCGAAAGCCUAAAACUCAAAAGACUUGACGGUGUCCCACCUACCUAGAGGAGCCUGUUCCAUAAUCGACAACCCACGUUAAACCUAACCACUCUUAGAAUUCACCCAGCCUAUAUACCGCCGUCAUCAGCCUACCUCCUAAAAGUUAGAAAGUAUGCUUAAUAGUUUUAAACACUAAAAAGUCAGGUCAAGGUGUAGCUUAUAGAGUGGAGGAAAUGGGCUACAUUUUUUAACUUAAACUAAACGAACUUCAUCCUGAAAUUAAUAGAAUAAAGGUGGAUUUAGCAGUAAUUUAAACAAGAAUAUUUAAAUUAACAUCAGCCCUGGGACAUGUACACA
rnacentral:rRNA from 1 species